UACAGAGACUGCAAGCGUUAUUCGGAUUCACUGGGCGUAAAGGGUGCGCAGGCGGCCGUGUGUGUGAGGCGUGAAAGCCCGGGGCUCAACCCCGGAAUUGCACCUCAAACUACAUGGCUAGAGCAUUGGAGAGGGUAGCGGAAUUCACGGUGUAGCAGUGAAAUGCGUAGAUAUCGUGAGGAACACCAGUGGCGAAGGCGGCCGGCUGGGGGUGCCCUGACGCUGAGGCGCGAAAGCGUGGGGAGCGAACCGGG
rnacentral:rRNA from 1 species